CACUAGGAAGCUAAUUAAGGUAUAGCAUUAACCUUUUAAGUUAAAGAUUGGUGCCUCCUGAACACCCCUAAUGA
rnacentral:tRNA from 1 species